UGAGAUUCAGUGUAGAAGUUAGGACUGCAGAGUUCAGAUGACUUCUAGCAUUAACACAUCUGUUUCCCAGUAUCUAAAGUGAAAUGACUUCUGAUGCACCCAGCAAUCUGUGAGCCCAGAUGUCUGAAAGUGAGAAAUCGUAGCUGUGGCAUCUGGAUCCUCCACAGACUCCAAAAAGACACAUAGAAGCUCUUCAAACAUCUUUCAGUUCUGCAAGCCUUCGUUAUAGAAUCACACAAUCAUAGUGGCUGGAAAGGAUCUCUGGAGAUCCUCUAGUCCAAUCCCCUGCUAAAGCGAGUUCCCUACAGUAGGUUGCACAGGAAAGCAUCUGGGUGGGCUCUGAGUAUCUCCAGAGAAGGAGACUCCACAACCUCUCUGGGCAGCCUGUUUCAGUGCUCUGUCACCCUCAGACUGAGUAAGAUCUUUCUCAUAUUCAGAAUUCAUCCAUUAAAAAAAAAACUAUAAUAAAAAAAUAUAAAAUUGCUAAGGGAAAGGUUAAGCU
ensembl:lncRNA